UUUGAUCCUGGCUCAGGACGAACGCUGGCGGCGUGCCUAAUACAUGCAAGUCGAGCGGAUCGAUGGGAGCUUGCUCCCUGAGAUCAGCGGCGGACGGGUGAGUAACACGUGGGUAACCUGCCUGUAAGACUGGGAUAACUCCGGGAAACCGGGGCUAAUACCGGAUAAUUCAGUUCCUCGCAUGAGGAACUGUUGAAAGGUGGCUUUUCGCUACCACUUACAGAUGGACCCGCGGCGCAUUAGCUAGUUGGUGAGGUAACGGCUCACCAAGGCAACGAUGCGUAGCCGACCUGAGAGGGUGAUCGGCCACACUGGGACUGAGACACGGCCCAGACUCCUACGGGAGGCAGCAGUAGGGAAUCUUCCGCAAUGGACGAAAGUCUGACGGAGCAACGCCGCGUGAGUGAAGAAGGUUUUCGGAUCGUAAAACUCUGUUGUUAGGGAAGAACAAGUGCCGUUCGAAUAGGG
rnacentral:rRNA from 2 species